rnacentral:rRNA from 1 species
AGCUCCAAUAGCGUAUAUUAAAGUUGUUGCAGUUAAAAAGCUCGUAGUUGGAUUUCUGGUUGAAGCGACCGGUCGGGCGUUGAUUCGUCUGCACUGGAGUCGGUUUUGGCCAUCCUCUAGGAAAGUGCGUCUGGUAUUAAGUUGUCGGGCGUAUGAUCCUGGUCUUUUACUGUGAAAAAAUUAGAGUGUUUAAAGCAGGCCUUCGCCUUGAAUACAUUAGCAUGGAAUAAUAAGAUAGGACUUUGGUCUAUUUUGUUGGUUUGCAGACCGAAGUAAUGAUUAAUAGGGAUAGUUGGGGGUAUUUAUAUUCCGAUGUCAGAGGUGAAAUUCUUAGAUUUUCGGAAGAUAAACUUAUGCGAAAGCAUUUACCAAGGAUGUUUUCA